GAGUUUGAUCGUGGCUCAGAAUCAACGCUGGCGGCGUGCCUAACACAUGCAAGUCGAACGAGAAAGUGGAGCAAUCCACGAGUACAGUGGCGCACGGGUGAGUAACACGUGACUAACCUACCCUUGAGUGGGGGAUAACCUAGAGAAAUCUGGGCUAAUACCGCAUAAUACCUUCGGGUCAAAGGAGCAAUUCGCUUAAGGAGGGGGUCGCGGCCGAUUAGUUAGUUGGCGGGGUAAUGGCCCACCAAGACUAUGAUCGGUAUCCGGCCUGAGAGGGCGCACGGACACACUGGAACUGAAACACGGUCCAGACUCCUACGGGAGGCAGCAGUGGGGAAUUUUGCGCAAUGGGGGGAAACCCUGACGCAGCAACGCCGCGUGGAGGAUGAAGUCCCUUGGGACGUAAACUCCUUUCGAUCGGGACGGUAAUGACGGUACCGGGAGAGAAGCCCCGGCUAACUUCGUGCC
rnacentral:rRNA from 1 species